rnacentral:rRNA from 1 species
AAGUAGGGGAUCGUAAGACCUUGCGCUUUUGGAGUGGCCGAUGCCUGAUUAGCUAGUUGGUGGGGUAAGGGCCUACCAAGGCAACGAUCAGUAGUUGGUCUGAGAGGACGACCAGCCACACUGGGACUGAGACACGGCCCAGACUCCUACGGGAGGCAGCAGUGGGGAAUUUUGGACAAUGGGCGAAAGCCUGAUCCAGCAAUGCCGCGUGAGUGAAGAAGGCCUUCGGGUUGUAAAGCUCUUUCAGUCGAGAAGAAAAGGUUGUGACUAAUAAUCACAACUUAUGACGGUACCGACAGAAGAAGCACCGGCUAACUACGUGCCAGCAGCCGCGGUAAUACGUAGGGUGCGAGCGUUAAUCGGAAUUACUGGGCGUAAAGGGUGCGCAGGCGGCUUUGUAAGUCAGAUGUGAAAUCCCCGGGCUUAACCUGGGAAUUGCGUUUGAAACUACAAAGCUUAGA